AUAGAGAAAUUAGUUAAUUUAUAAUAUAAAAUUGUCAAUUUUAAGUUACUAUAUUUUAGUAUUUC
rnacentral:tRNA from 1 species